rnacentral:siRNA from 1 species
AAAGGAGCUGCUUCCACUUUGGUG